UUUAUCUUGCAUGGCCAAAAUUAUCUGCCUUUAUAAUCGAUAAAGUACAAUCUAAAGCCAAAAAUCGUUUGAAUAAUGUUUUUACGCCAGAUGGUUCUACAAUUGCAACAUUAUCCUUGAUAUGUCAUCUAUUUCCUGUGAUAACAGUUAAAAAAGGCCAACCGAGGAAUUGGAGACCUUCUAGAGAGGAAUGUGAAGAAGGGUUUCUUCUACAUGUAAAAACAAUUGCUGAUCUUGAAACAAGAUUACAUGAGCGAACGAUCAAAUUACAUUCAUUUGGUUUAACCUCGCAACCUAUUGCAAUAAUAGUUGGCCCUAGUUUUGACGACAUUAGUCAAUGUUUUGUUGUCAUCAAUAACUACAGGUACGAAGUGGAGACACCAUUAAAAGCCAUAGAUUUUAUUGUAAAGUCUUGCAAUGCUUUAAAUAUCCGAUAUCCUUUUGAAGUAGGCCAAGUAUUUAUGUUUUUGCAAAGAGCUGUGUACGACUUUGAAACUACGUGGGACAAGCGAAAGAAUUCCCAGCUUACUAGUGCCGUUUUAGCAAGAAUUCAAGAAUAUAAAUUACUUUAAAAUUUUAAAACGUUAAAAUUAUUCAGAUUGUAUCAUGCCUGUAUGUUUUUUAUGCAAAGAGACUAUUACGUCUGUUAAUGGUCUUUUAGUACAUUUUAACAUUAAACAUAUUGAUUCAUUAACAAUUUUUAAAUGUGGUGAAGAUGGAUGCAAUCGUAAAUGGUCUUCAUGGAAUUCUUUACGAAGCCAUUUAAUUGGAUCUAAUCAUAAUUUUCCUGCUUGGCCUGCUUCUGAACAACAUGUAUCUAAAGUAUUAAUUGAACCUACUGAAACACAAAUUGAAAGAAAAAAAGAAUCCUGUCUUAUUAGCAAUGUUAAUAUAAGUAACAAUGAUGUAAUCUCAAUAGAAUUAAGUAACAAUAAAUCUUCGUCAAUAACUCCUAUCGAAUUUAAAUCUCUCGUAAGAAAAAGUUGUGAUGCUUUUGUUGCAAAAUUGUAUUAUACAUCUUCAAUUCCGCGAAAAUACAUUCAAUCUAUUAUUCAGGACAGUUGUACAU
rnacentral:lncRNA from 13 species